GGUGUCCAUGAUGUCAUUUUACCUACAUUGUUCGAUUUCUGCUGAGAAAAACCCAAAUCUGAGACACCC
ensembl:snoRNA SNORD34 Small nucleolar RNA SNORD34